UGGUUGUUUUGAUAGCUUCCCCUCAAAUGUAAAUUGCUUGCAUGAGAAUAACUUCACUUAUGGUUUAGUGUUAGCUUUUUCGUAUAUUUUGAUUACCUUGCUAAUUGAUUCAUUUCCAUAGGUUAAUUGUUGAACACCAAGAACACUUAGUGGAGUGGGCAUAGAAGUGGACUGGACACUAUCUGCAUGAGCUUGUACAAAGACAACUGGAGGUGCGGAAAUCCAUGGCAAACCAAGCAUCACCUCUACAAGAAGAAUGACAGAGGAGUUGCUGCAAAAGAUCAAUGACCCCCCUUGAUGUGAUUCAGAGUGACUUGCUAGAUUCUUUUGUUCACUUCAAUGAAGAUCACUAGUUAGAAACAUAUAUAAGCUCUUGUGCAGUAUUGCUGAUGACGUGCAUUCAUUUUAAAUUUAAAUUUGACCGAUCUUUGUAUAUCCUGGAUAUGAACCAUGUACUGGAUAAUGAAUCAUGUCAAUGAUCACAUUGUGGAAUAAUUUCUAGAAUUAUGUGAAUGUUCACUUGAA